GACGGAGGGUGCAAGCGUUGUUCGGAAUCACUGGGCGUAAAGCGCGUGUAGGCGGUUUGAUAAGUCGGAUGUGAAAGCCCGAGGCUCAACCUCGGAAGUGCAUUCGAAACUGUCAGACUUGAGUACGGGAGAGGGAAGUGGAAUUCCUGGUGUAGAGGUGAAAUUCGUAGAGAUUAGGAGGAACACCGGUGGCGAAGGCGGCUUCCUGGACUGAUACUGACGCUGAGACGCGAAAGCGUGGGGAGCAAACGGG
rnacentral:rRNA from 1 species